rnacentral:rRNA from 1 species
GUGGGGAAUUUUGGACAAUGGGCGCAAGCCUGAUCCAGCAAUGCCGCGUGCAGGAAGAAGGCCUUCGUGUUGUAAACUGCUUUUGUACGGAACGAAACGGUCCUGGUUAAUACCCGGGGCUAAUGACGGUACCGUAAGAAUAAGCACCGGCUAACUACGUGCCAGCAGCCGCGGUAAUACGUAGGGUGCAAGCGUUAAUCGGAAUUACUGGGCGUAAAGCGUGCGCAGGCGGUGCUGUAAGACAGGCGUGAAAUCCCCGGGCUUAACCUGGGAAUUGCGCUUGUGACUGCAGUGCUGGAGUGCGGCAGAGGGGGAUGGAAUUCCGCGUGUAGCAGUGAAAUGCGUAGAUAUGCGGAGGAACACCGAUGGCGAAGGCAAUCCCCUGGGCCUGCACUGACGCUCAUGCACGAAAGCGUGGGGAGCAAACAGGAUUAGAAACCCCAGUAGUCC